GUGGGGAAUAUUGGACAAUGGGCGAAAGCCUGAUCCAGCCAUGCCGCGUGAGUGAUGAAGGCCUUAGGGUUGUAAAGCUCUUUUAUCCGGGAAGAUAAUGACUGUACCGGAAGAAUAAGCCCCGGCUAACUUCGUGCCAGCAGCCGCGGUAAUACGAAGGGGGCUAGCGUUGCUCGGAAUCACUGGGCGUAAAGGGCGCGUAGGCGGCCAUUCAAGUCAGGGGUGAAAGCCCAGGGCUCAACCCUGGAAUUGCCUUUGAUACUGUUUGGCUAGAGACCGGAAGAGGUAAGUGGAACUGCGAGUGUAGAGGUGAAAUUCGUAGAUAUUCGCAAGAACACCAGUGGCGAAGGCGGCUUACUGGUCCGGUUCUGACGCUGAGGCGCGAAAGCGUGGGGAGCAAACAGG
rnacentral:rRNA from 1 species